rfam:Nematostella vectensis strain CH2 x CH6 NEMVEscaffold_251_Cont20853, whole genome shotgun sequence.
UACUCCGUGUCGCAAUGGUAGCGCCUCUGACUCCAGAUCAGAAGGUUGCGUGUUCAAAUCACGUCGGGGUCA